rnacentral:rRNA from 1 species
AGAGUUUGAUCCUGGCUCAGAACGAACGCUGGCGGCGCGUUUUAAGCAUGCAAGUCGAGCGGCAAGGGUACUUCGGUACCCCUAGAGCGGCGGACGGGUGAGUAACACGUGGAUAACCUGCCCCCGGGUGCGGGAUAGCCCAGGGAAACCUGGAUUAAUACCUCGUAAGACCACACUCUGACGGGAGAGUGGGAAAAGGCGCUUCGGCGUCGCCUGGGGAUGGGUCCGCGUCCCAUUAGCUAGAUGGUAGGGUAAGAGCCUACCAUGGCGACGAUGGGUAGCCGGCCUGAGAGGGUGAACGGCCACACUGGAACUGAGACACGGUCCAGACUCCUACGGGAGGCAGCAGCUAAGAAUCUUCCGCAAUGGGCGCAAGCCUGACGGAGCGACGCCGCGUGGGCGAGGAAGGCCGCAAGGUUGUAAAGUCCUUUUCGGGAAGGGGAAUAAGAGUGAUAGGCAAUGAUCACUUGAUGACAUGAAUCCCGGAAUAAGCCCCGGCUAACUACGUGCCAACAGCCGCGGUAACACGUAGGGGGCGAGCGUUGUUCGGAAUCAUUGGGCGUAAAGGGCGCGCAGGCGGCGUGUAAAGUCUGGCGUGGAAGUCCCCGGCUCAACUGGGGGAUUGCGUUGGAAACUGGCACGCUUGAGUACGACAGGGGAUGGCGGAAUUCCAGGUGUAGGGGUGAAAUCUGUAGAUAUCUGGAGGAACACCAAUGGCGAAGGCAGCCAUCUGGAUCAGUACUGACGCUGAGGCGCGAAGGUGCGGGGAGCAAACAAAUUUAGAUACCCUGGUAGUCCGCACAGUAAACG